UCUGCCUUUUGCCAUGAGAACAGCAUGUCCCAGGUAGGAACUCAUCCUUCCGCCUGGUUUCCUGUAGGAGAAGACUUGAGGAGCAGACCUGAACUUGACCUGGAGUCUGGAACAGAGCUGACCCCCAGACGCUGGGUGGGUUGCAAGGAUGCUGGGAAGAAAAGAUCAGGAAGGGGAAGAAGCUAGAAGUUCAGCAUGCAGCACUGGCAUGAGUCAAGCCCGGGAAGCUGACGGACAUCUGUAUGAUCUGUGAGGAUGUGUUCUGUGCUCAGGUAGGGAGGUCACUGAGGUGUGCAUCCUAAAAAUAGAGGAUUGUCGGAUUAAAGCCUACAGGUGAGAGUCCCAAUGAGUUGGCCUUUUUGGUGGAUUUUAGCAUCAUGUCCCAAGAAAGCUGGACUGUCACAAAGUUGUUUCCUCAUAUUUAGGAUUUUAGAUAGUUUCUCUCCAUGGCUACGAGAAAAUGAAAAGAAUUACUGUGAGAUGGGGACACUGUCAGUCUUGGAGUUACUGCCAUUGGACUUUCUGGCCAUGUGGAAGCAAUUUAUUUCUCUGGUCUGUUAUAGCCUGGUGUUAGCUGGAUGGCAUCUACCUCACUGUUGAUACCAUUCCUGGCCAGGUAUGCCCUGUCCGUUUGGAUAAGUCACAGUCUGAAGUUCAUCUUUCUUGAUCAUCCCAUCAUGAAGUUAAUUAUUUCUGAGACUCUGAAGUCAGGAUUUGUUGUGAUUUCAACUGAGAUCAACUGAGAAUUGCUGAAGAAUGGGAAGAUUACUUUUUCUGUAGACCGGAGAGUGAUUUUCAAACACUUGUUAGCAGUAGAAUCUUUUGACCGAACACAAUUUUUAUGUGGAACCCUGGUAUAAAACAGAUAAAAGUGUAUGUUCUCUGGUACCCCUGGAGUCCAACCGUGGAACUUUAUCCCAAGACGUAGCACGCAGCCUUCUCAGCAUGAGAUGUACUAACCAAAGUGGAAAAUUCCUCUCCAAAUUUGUACGUGAGCAGAACCUGCUUGCGCUAAGUGGUAGCACAUGGAAAGAACCUGGCAACGUUGAGGGAUGUCAUAGGAAGCAACUCCAUGAAACUCAUUUUUAUGUUUACUGUAAGGAUGUUGUUAAGGAUGUGGUUGAUGACAUCCCACAGUGUUUCCUUUGUGAAGAUCUGCUGAAGAAAUUUUUCUCUUCCCUCAGGACUACGAUUAACCACAUUUCUCCUGAGCAACUGGGUAGUUUGCAUAUUGUAGGUACUGUAAAUCGUGGCUUAUACAUACCUAUAGGGUGGGGUUCUCAAACCUUACUGCCCACUAGAAUCACCUGGGGAGCUUUUUAAAUGCAAAUACCCAGGCUCACCCCAGACUAAUUGCAUCAGAAUCUCAAGAGGGACAUUAGCAUUUUUUAAAGUACUCUGGGUGAUUCUAACGUGCAGUAGAGUUGAGAACUACUGCUCUGUGGCCUUAUGGCAUGUAAUUAUGGGCAUUUUCUUUUUCUAAUUGCCCAAUUUCAUUUCUUAUAUGUCUUUGUUAGCCUUGUAACUCUUUCUUUGAAAAGAGUGGAUGUGCAUACAUAUAUACACAUGAGUUUAUGAUAAUUAAAU
rnacentral:lncRNA from 1 species